rnacentral:lncRNA from 1 species
GAGUUAGAACAUGUUCAUUAGUCCUUUAUAGUAUCUUUGCAUGUAAAUAGUUAUUAACCAAGGUGUCAAGUAUUGUAACAGAGAUGCAGGAGAUUUGUCUAGACCAUUCCUCAAGAAGCCAGGAAAAGUUAACCAAGAAUCACACUCAGUCUGCCAGUGUUCUUCCAAUGGACCUAGUUACUAAUCCAAGCACUGACCUGCCAAGCACUUUAACUGAACAUCUAUGCCAACCAAAAUUUUAAGCUAACAGAUGUGGCACAUGGCCAACUACAUCUUUCUAUGUCUGUGAUCUGUCCUCAGGCAGACCACUGGAGACACAAGAACAAACCAGGGGUACUAAGGAGUUAAAGCCUUAGCAGGAUCCCUUGGUUACCAAAGGAUUAGAGUUUGUGCCAAAAGACAGCAUCUGGUGCCCUUUUAUGUGAGAUCUGGUGCCCUCUUCUGGCCUGAAGGCAUACAUGCAGGCAGAACACUGUAUACACAAUAAAGAAAAAAAAAACCUUUGGAAAGUACUUCCAGGAAACCAUAGAAUCCUUAAAGAAGCAAUGGUAGAAUAAUAUCGUGAUGAUUAAUUUUGACUGCAACCUUGGCUGGAUUUAAAAUCACUUAAGAGACACACCUCUGGAUAGGUCUGUGAGGUUUUUCAUGACAGGUUUAAGUGAAGGGGGAAGAUCCCAUGGGCCAGGGUCCUAGAGUAAAUGAAAUGAAAUAGAGAAGGCUAGAGAAAGAACACCAACACUCCUCUGUCUCCACUUCUUGACAUCAGUCACAAUCUCAUCAGCUGUCUCAGUCCCUCAGCCACGCCCUUCUUGCCAUAAUGGACUGUACACUCAAACCUCAAGCCAAGUUUGCUCACUCUGGUUGCUUCUUACUGGAUAUUUGUUUACAACAAGAAAAAUAACUAACAGAGAAAAUCCCCCACAUGAUGUUAAAAUGUCAAUGAAAAGUAAGCAGAAACAGAUUGUAAGGAGUUGAUACCAGGGCCUUAGGAAUGCUCAAAGUGGUCUACUGAGGAGCUACAUCCCAGCCCCUGCUAUAAAAUUCUGAUCUGGAUAAAUUUACAUUCAGAAGAGAUCGAUGAAAACAACUGUAAAUAAUGCUGCAUUGUGUGCCUCAUCCAGAUCACUGAACAGAAAUUGGCAAUUCAGUACUCACAGUGCCUAGCCAAACUAAACACUAGUGAAUACUGUGGACUUACUAAAGAUGUUUAAGUAUGCAACACCCAUGGAGGCUCUGAACUUUUUUCGAUUAUAGCCUUUUUUCUGAUGCCCAUAAAUGACAUUUGGGUGGCUCAGGAUGUCUACCACAACAAGAUGUGGAUCACUAAAGAAAUGUAACUUUGGACCAAGAAGCCACUUGAAGUCCAGAACACAGCAAUGAUUAUUGAUGUGGGAGCAUUCAUUCAUUCCUGGAGUCUCUGGGUGACGCCAGAGGGGAAAGAGUCGCAUCCUCAAGAACAAAACCUUUUCAAAGGGACUAAAAGUUCUUGGUUCAAGUUCAACCUCAUCAACAUAGGCACAGUAUGUUCUCACAGCUAAUUUCACCUUGAAGAGUGGGAGUUUCACUGCAGACCCAACAACUGUACUGGGCUUGCCCUUCUGCUGUUUCCAACUAGAAAGCUGGGUAGGAGAGCCCAGACCCAUCAUCUGUCGGUGGAGAAAUGGAGGCAGAUCCCAAUGCCACUCAAUAUUUCUUCCUAAGGGCUCUUUGAGACCACAGCAAUCAGGUUUCCCAAGAAAAGCAGUCAUCUGCCAAGCUAAAGAGCAGAGCUGGAGUUCAGGAGGCUGUCACGUUGGCCUGGAUAGAAUGGAUCCUAGAGGGAAGCAGGCUACACAGAUGAACAGGUUGUGAUUGACUUUCCUCAAGACAGUGAGGCUCCAAGAGUCAGGCAAAGAAAAAUUUUAGGUGAAAGAACAGCUACAGAUGGAUGUAAGCAAAACAUUUCCCCAAAGCAACUAACUCAUGGAUGGGAGAUGCUGGACUUCCAACCCACUACAGAAAAGCUGUCUAGGAUCACAUACCCAGAAAAUCCAGACUUAAACUAGUAGAGCUAACUGGUCAUAGAGUUACAGUUAUUCUAGGACUCUAUAACAGAGAGAAAGAUGAAAAGUAUCUUCU